rnacentral:sRNA from 1 species
GAAGACCCCCGUCACCACGCCGGUAACGAGGGCCUCGUUGUCGUUGAUUGU